GAUGAACGCUGGCGGCGUGCCUAAUACAUGCAAGUCGAGCGAACGGACGAGAAGCUUGCUUCUCUGAUGUUAGCGGCGGACGGGUGAGUAACACGUGGAUAACCUACCUAUAAGACUGGGAUAACUUCGGGAAACCGGAGCUAAUACCGGAUAAUAUUUUGAACCGCAUGGUUCAAAAGUGAAAGACGGUCUUGCUGUCACUUAUAGAUGGAUCCGCGCUGCAUUAGCUAGUUGGUAAGGUAACGGCUUACCAAGGCAACGAUGCAUAGCCGACCUGAGAGGGUGAUCGGCCACACUGGAACUGAGACACGGUCCAGACUCCUACGGGAGGCAGCAGUAGGGAAUCUUCCGCAAUGGGCGAAAGCCUGACGGAGCAACGCCGCGUGAGCGAUGAAGGUCUUCGGAUCGUAAAACUCUGUUAUUAGGGAAGAACAUAUGUGUAAGUAACUGUGCACAUCUUGACGGUACCUAAUCAGAAAGCCACGGCUAACUACGUGCCAGCAGCCGCGGUAAUACGUAGGUGGCAAGCGUUAUCCGGAAUUAUUGGGCGCAAAGCGCGCGUAGGCGGUUUUUUAAGUCUGAUGUGAAAGCCCACGGCUCAACCGUGGAGGGUCAUUGGAAACUGGAAAACUUGAGUGCAGAAGAGGAAAGUGGAAUUCCAUGUGUAGCGGUGAAAUGCGCAGAGAUAUGGAGGAACACCAGUGGCGAAGGCGACUUUCUGGUCUGUAACUGACGCUGAUGUGCGAAAGCGUGGGGAUCAAACAGGAUUAGAUACCCUGGUAGUCCACGCCGUAAACGAUGAGUGCUAAGUGUUAGGGGGUUUCCGCCCCUUAGUGCUGCAGCUAACGCAUUAAGCACUCCGCCUGGGGAGUACGACCGCAAGGUUGAAACUCAAAGGAAUUGACGGGGACCCGCACAAGCGGUGGAGCAUGUGGUUUAAUUCGAAGCAACGCGAAGAACCUUACCAAAUCUUGACAUCCUUUGACAACUCUAGAGAUAGAGCCUUCCCCUUCGGGGGACAAAGUGACAGGUGGUGCAUGGUUGUCGUCAGCUCGUGUCGUGAGAUGUUGGGUUAAGUCCCGCAACGAGCGCAACCCUUAAGCUUAGUUGCCAUCAUUAAGUUGGGCACUCUAAGUUGACUGCCGGUGACAAACCGGAGGAAGGUGGGGAUGACGUCAAAUCAUCAUGCCCCUUAUGAUUUGGGCUACACACGUGCUACAAUGGACAAUACAAAGGGCAGCGAAACCGCGAGGUCAAGCAAAUCCCAUAAAGUUGUUCUCAGUUCGGAUUGUAGUCUGCAACUCGACUACAUGAAGCUGGAAUCGCUAGUAAUCGUAGAUCAGCAUGCUACGGUGAAUACGUUCCCGGGUCU
rnacentral:rRNA from 1 species